CAGAAGGGUGGUGAUACCAACUUACUACUGGAAGCAGUGGGCAGCGCAGGACAGGCCCAGGGCCACCGACCCUGGCAAUGACUGUCACCAGCUGGAGGGAAGAGCUGAGAAUGAAGCGGAGAGCAUCAGACAGAGGAGCUGGGGAAACGUCGGCCAGGGCCAAGGCUCUAGGAAGUGGGAUUUCUGGAAAUAAUGCAAAGAGAGCUGGACCAUUCAUCCUUGGUCCCCGUCUGGGCAACUCACCGGUGCCAAGCAUAGUGCAGUGUUUGGCGAGGAAAGAUGGCACGGAUGACUUCUAUCAGCUGAAGAUCCUGACCCUGGAGGAGAGGGGGGACCAAGGCAUAGAGAGCCAGGAAGAGCGGCAGGGCAAGAUGCUGCUGCACACCGAGUACUCACUGCUGUCUCUCCUGCACACGCAGGAUGGCGUGGUGCACCACCACGGCCUCUUCCAGGACCGCACCUGUGAAAUCGUUGAGGACACAGAAUCCAGCCGGAUGGUUAAGAAGAUGAAGAAGCGCAUCUGCCUCGUCCUGGACUGCCUCUGUGCUCAUGACUUCAGCGACAAGACUGCUGACCUCAUCAACCUGCAGCACUACGUCAUCAAGGAGAAGAGGCUCAGCGAGAGGGAGACUGUGGUCAUCUUCUACGACGUGGUCCGCGUGGUGGAGGCCCUGCACCAGG
rnacentral:sRNA from 1 species